UCUUCAAUGCACAAGAGCACCAUAAUAUUGUUCGACCCCUCAUAAUAUGGGUUUCAAACAGCCACACUGAACAUCCAGAAGAAUAGAUGUAGGCCUACAAACACACACAUUAGAUUCACAGUAAAGAGCGACAAAAUGUUGCGAUCUAAGUGAAAAUAAUGUUUAGCCAACAGUGUAUUACUGAAGUGCACAUGGAUUGAUUGGGUGAAGAUGGUUCCUAAUUACUGGCUGCGACAAUGAGGACAUUUGACUGUAAUCAAAAAUGUUGUUUGCAAUACCCCUUUUUCUUUCUUUUCUUUUCAAACGCAAUGACCACCGCAAUGACCAUGACACAGACCGCCGCAAUGACCAUCGCAAUGACCCCAACAGUCCCGACCACAGUCCCUGCAAUGCCCCCUGGAGUCAAGACUACAGCCAGAGCCAGGCUGCUGUUGAUAAUGGGGUCAAUGUGUUCUACAAGCAGAAAUACAUUGAAGGGUGAUUGGCAAAGCCUCUGAAUCUGAAUCAACGCAUAGUUGGACCACACACUAAUGGCUAACACACUCAGCCACCCCCAACAGGGUUGCUUAACUCUGUUGAACCCUUGUGAUGUCUGUGAAGUUGCUGACUAUAUUUCAAUUUAAUCUACCGAUUUGGGUGUUGAAUAUCUUGGUUUAGGUUUGGCAAACACUACAGAUUAUUCUAAUUUAAAGAGGUAAAUCAAUGUUUUACUUUGGAAUUCAGGGUUUAUAUACUAUACUGCUUUGAGCGGCAUAGAGAAAAAUAAUAAUCAACAGCAAACGAUUGGAUCCAGGAUAAUUUGUCGGUGGGAUUAGCUGUAGAAGUACAAUACUGACAGGUAAUGUUAAUUGUACCGCCCUCAAAAGACUUCAGUUACACAUUAGAUGACCAAACAACAAGAACAACCAAAGUUCAGUAGAAAAGGGGAAAACAUUCAAAAUAUAAGCAAAUAACGACCACAUUAGGUUUGCAUGUUGCCAUUUGUGGAGUUGGU